rnacentral:snoRNA from 2 species
AAACCAUGGUGGGGACAAAGUCUAUCCUUGAAACGCUCCCACGCAUCAUAAAGAGACUCCCCAUCUUUUUAAUUGAACCGCGUGAUUUGAUCUCUUAGUUU